AAAAAAACUAAACCCACUUGUCAUAAAACGAGUGUUUUCGUUUCCUUGUGCAAAUAUUUAUUAAUUUUAUUUACAAAUUGCUAAAGACAUGCAACGAGCUAGUACAGGAAGCAUAACGCAGCUCGUGCGCGUCGAGAGACUCCGAGCUUUGCUGACUACCAUCACCGUGCCGUGGGAGAUGCACUGCAUACCCUGGGACGCACAUUACGUCGCAAACUCCCCGCAAAAAUUGCCUGAUCCGGCGUUUGUCGAGCAAGAUAACUUAACAACGAAGACCGGCGCCUGGCGGGACACGUUAUCCUCAAUCAUAACUCUGCAGGCGGUGCCCGCCUCGCGUUCUCUGUUCAGUCUUUAAUGCAGAUAGUAUGUAGCAGAGUUGUCUAAAUUAAUCAAUAUGUAAGCUGUAAGUCGUUUGGAAGAAAUUGCCUCCGGAAACACCGGAGUCUUCAGAG